rnacentral:rRNA from 1 species
UACGUAGGGUGCAGGCGUUAAUCGGAAUUACUGGGCGUAAAGCGUGCGCAGGCGGUUUGCUAAGACAGGUGUGAAAUCCCCGGGCUUAACCUGGGAACUGCGCUUGUUACUGGCAGGCUUGAGUGUGGCAGAGGGGGGUGGAAUUCCGCGUGUAGCAGUGAAAUGCGUAGAGAUGCGGAGGAACACCGAUGGCGAAGGCAGCCCCCUGGGCCAACACUGACGCUCAGGCACGAAAGCGUGGGGAGCAAACAGG